rnacentral:rRNA from 1 species
UACGUAGGGUCCGAGCGUUGUCCGGAAUUAUUGGGCGUAAAGAGCUCGUAGGCGGUCUGUUGCGUCGGUUGUGAAAACCUGGGGCUCAACUCCAGGCCUGCAAUCGAUACGGGCAGACUAGAGUUCGGUAGGGGAGACUGGAAUUCCUGGUGUAGCGGUGGAAUGCGCAGAUAUCAGGAGGAACACCGGUGGCGAAGGCGGGUCUCUGGGCAGUAACUGACGCUGAGGAGCGAAAGCGUGGGGAGCGAACAGG